rnacentral:rRNA from 1 species
UUAAUGUCCAGGAGAGUGGCCCUCCGCAUGGAGGGUUGACUAGAGAUUUAUCGGUAUGGGAUGAGCUUGCGUCCGAUUAGCUAGUUGGCGGGGCAACGGCCCACCAAGGCGACGAUCGGUAGCCGGACUGAGAGGGUGAUCGGCCACAUUGGGACUGAGAUACGGCCCAGACUCCUACGGGAGGCAGCAGUAGGGAAUAUUGCACAAUGGGGGAAACCCUGAUGCAGCAACGCCACGUGUGGGAAGAAGCAUUUCGGUGUGCAAACCACUGUCAUGAGGGAAUAAGGCCCGCCUCCGGGCGGGAUUGAAUGUACCUUGAGAGGAAGCACCGGCAAACUUCGUGCCAGCAGCCGCGGUAAUACGAGGGUGCAAGCGUUGUUCGGAAUUACUGGGCGUAAAGGGAGCGUAGGCGGAGAUUCAAGCGGAUUGUACAAUCCCGGGGCCCAACCCCGGCUCUGCAGUCCGAACUGGAUCUCUUGGAUAGUUCAGGGGCAGGCGGAAUUCCUGGUGUAGCGGUGGAAUGCGUAGAGAUCAGGAAGAACACCGAUGGCGAAGGCAGCCUGCUGGGGACUUAUCGACGCUGAGGCUCGAAAGUGCGGGUAGCAAACAGGAUUAGAUACCCUGGUAGUCCGCACCGUAAACAAUGCAUACUGGGUGUCCGGGGGUUCCCCCGGGUACCGUA